CCCUAUAUUCGAACUGACUCUUCCUUUGUCCCACUUCAUUUGGUCCGCAUAGCAGGUGCUUCCCUAAAACCCUAAAGCCCCCAAAACCCUCGGAGGUCGCCAAGUAGCAGCAACAGCGGAGUACCUCCAGCACCGCCACCUUCGCCGCCGCUGCUACUGCCGCAUCGGCCACCAUCAUCAUCUUCGUCACUGUCUUGAAGCCCUUGCAAAUCGGCGCCUGCACCUUCAUGCGCCGGCUUCCCCCCAAAUGCAGGCCAUUUUCAGACUUUCGGUGCUCCGGAGACCCGAAGUCACCAGCGUCCUUGUAUCCUUCUCAUCCGUAACCCAGUUGCUUACCCGGCCUGCUUCGCCUCGCUCUGCUCCGAUCUUCCGUUUCUUUGGUGCUCAGCCUCAAUCGGACGACGAAGAUUCCAGCGGCGGUGUCUCCACUGGAUUCGACAGUGCUGAUUUCGACAUCUCCAGCACUUCCGCUAAUAGUACUGUCAGCGAACCUUCAUGGGAUCAGACGUACCGUGAGAAGGUCGACAAGGCCCUCUUCGGAAAGGAAAAGAAGGACGUGAAGGGGAAUAGGGAUGGAGAACAUGCAAAUCGUGCCAAGAGUCUCGCGAAAGCGCUCCUCCAAGCGGCGUUGCAGCGUCCGGAUGACGAGGAGGAGGAGGAAGAGGCGGUGAGGAUUGACGGGAUGGUAGUGAAAGAGGAAGACCAGAUGUCAUUGUCGGUCGGGAUCGUGGGGGCUCCUAACGCCGGCAAAUCUGCUCUCACGAACUAUAUGGUGGGGAACAAAGUUUCAGCAGUUUCACGGAAGACAAAUACAACUACUCAUGAAGUCCUUGGAGUGGUGACGAAAGGAAACACUCAAAUUUGUUUCUUUGACACUCCAGGACUUAUGCUGAAGCGAGGAGGUUACCCUUAUAGAACAGAUGUGACUGUUCGUGUGGAAAGUGCUUGGAGCUCCAUUGAGUUAUAUGAUUUGCUGAUAGUGCUGUUUGAUGUUCACAGGCAUCUCACAGCGUGUGAUGCAAGGGUAACAAGAUUAAUCAAACAUUUGGGAGAAAACGUACAUCCAAAACAAAAGCGUGUGCUGUGCAUGAACAAAGUUGAUCUGGUCGAGGUCAAGAAAGAUUUGCUGAAAGUUGCAAAAGAGUUUGGCAAUCUUCCUGGUUAUGAAAGAUUUUUUAUGAUUUCUGGCCUCAAAGGCUCUGGCGUGGAAGAUCUUACUCAUUAUUUGAUGGAGCAGGCGGUUAAACGACCAUGGGAUGAAGAUCCUACAAGCUUGAAUGAAGAAUUUUUAAAGAGCUUAUCACUAGAAGUCGUUCGAGAAAAACUGUUGCAUCAUGUCCAUCAGGUUACAGGAGAUCCCCUAUGCUUUGGAGCACCGCCUAGUUGACUGGAAAGAACUGAGAGAUGGAUCUUUGAGGAUUGAGCAACAUUUCCUUGCUCGCAAACAGUCUCACAGGAAAAUUGUUGUGGGCAAAAGUGGCUCCAAAAUAGGGAAGAUAGGGAUGGAAGCUACUGAAGAACUGCGAUCCAUGUUGAAGCGGCAUGUGCACCUCAUCUUGAUGGUCAGAAUGGCGUAAUGAAAGUAGAAAGAAAAAAAUCAUCACCAAAAUGCGAUGCCUUGGGUGACUCAUCAUUUGUGGUUGUAUUUGUAUAUGUAUAUAGAGCCGUCGAAAAGGGAAGAAAUUUUGCUAGUUGCAGCAGGAAAUUUUAUGUGUAGGUUAUUGAGCUCAUCACCGUGAUCCACCCAUGUGUCUGUCCAAUUUUAUUGUGUUUACGAUUAGGAAAAAAAAAAAAACGUUUCACUGCCGGUUGCCACUUUGCCUUGUAAUUUGUAACUUGGCCAAUGAUUCUGGUGAAGUCGAAAAGAGACUGUUUAUAAACUCGUUUCAAGGAAAAGUCAAUAAAUUGAUGUUUUUUCUUUUUUUGGA